rnacentral:lncRNA from 1 species
GACGCUCAAAAGUCAGAACUGUGAUGCCAACGCGCAAUGCACUAACACGCCAUGAUCAUAUACCUGCCAGUGUAACCAUGCGACUCACUACUAUGGAAACGGGACUACGUGCCAUACUUUCAGAGGACUCGCUGACUCAAAAAUUAUAGGCAAAGACACCAGAAAAUUGUCCCAAUUACAUUCCUGGCUACAUUCCCGCUUGCAGAGUCAGUCUAACAGUUACUGGAGUCUAUGCUAUAGAGCCUCGAGUCAUGGAUGGAGUUCAUCAACAUUUCACAGCUACUGUGAUAACCGCGGACCAACAGUGACGAUCAUUCGUGCUCAUGGUUACGUAUUUGGUGGUUACACUGAUCAGUCAUGGACAUAUUACUACAAUUACUAUUACUACUAUUAUGGUUAUAGUUAUUAUGGACGGUACGUUUCUUCAUCAAAAGCUUUCAUAUUUUCCCUCAAAAACUACUACGGAUAUGGAUAUUUUAAAAAGGACAUUAGCGUUUAUAGAAACGCAAUGUACAAUCAUUUUAAUUAUGGUCCGACAUUCGGCGGAGGACAUGAUAUUUACGUUGCAAACAAUGCAAAUAGUAACUAUAAUUCUUACUUUAAUUCGUACUCUUAUACCGGUAAAUACUCUAACAAUGAUGUCUGGACAGGAAAUAACAAUUUCUGCGCAGAUGAGGUAGAGGUUUACUAUGAAGUGACCAGUUAGUCGAGCAAUCUGUUAAAAAGUUAUCAUGCAACAUUGUUAGCUAACGUGGGAGGGUCUUAUUAACUUCAUUGUGUAAAACAAGUACGUUGUGUCUCCACAGGCAAUAUAGUGCUAUUCGUGCAUGAUCAAAUGGAAGCAUGUUCAUUGAUUGAAUUUAGUACCUAGAGCAAAUAAGUGUGCAAUUUGAUAAUGCAAUGAGGUCAAGGUCAUUUUACUUUCGUAUUUACUGCUUUCAGUGGAAUGAAGAUUAUCAUUUCAUGGGGUCAGAAAUUCGGUUGAAAAUUUCUUAAAAAAUUCACGCAGAUAAAGAUUAUAUGAUAUUUUCUCGUUAUGAAGCAAACUUUGUGGGGUUGAAACGCCUUUUACCAACCGAAAGCUACUUCGAUAUAACAGAUAUUCAUCUGAAAAGUGAUGAAUUAUGCCUCUGCUUCAUUUUUAGGAAUUAAAGUUAACUGAGGAAAAGUAAAAAAGUCAAAAAUAAAAAACUGAUAUAGUGGGCUAAGAAUGAAACACAUGCGUAAGAAACUUGAUUUUGUAUAAUGUAAAACACCAAUGUAUAUCUUAAAAUAAUCUUGUAUGAAUGGUAUGAAGCAUAUCUUCCAAUAGACAGAAUUUAUAGCACCGCUAACUCAUGGCAUAUUCACAGUCUGACGAGUAAGCUGCGAAGUUUUUCUCGUCGGUGAAAGUAUACGCAAACUCCUUUCAUAAGGCAGUAGUUAGUUAAAUGUUUCCAUAAUUAUACUUAUUAAACAAAUAAUAGUAAUUCUCGGUCAGAAAUGUUGACGUAAGAAAAGCCAAAUAGUCGUAUUUCAGUUUGAUAGAUGUGGUUACAACUUUUCUAUAAAAUACUGUAGACCCGAGAUGUGAUUUUUGGAAUAAGAAUUAGUGAGAGUUCAUAAUGUUUAACAGCUGAUGCAAUAAACAGAUGAUCUCUGUAAUGGUGUAAGGA